AAAGAUCUAUAGGCUGGGAUUACUGUUGUCACUGUCCUAUAGAUUUGGGUUGUAUCGUUGUGUAUUAUAUUUGCUAUGGAGCUAUGUAUGUAUGGAUGCUAUGGAACUAUAUGUAUAUAUGGAUGCUAUGGAAUUUUGGAUGUAUGCAUGCUAUGGAAUUUUGAUAUAUGGAUCAUGAAAUUUGUUAUGCAACUUUGCAUAUAUGUUAUGUGUUGUGGAUCAGUAAAAC
rnacentral:lncRNA from 1 species